rnacentral:rRNA from 1 species
ACUCCUACGGGAGGCAGCAGUGGGGAAUAUUGCACAAUGGGGAAACCCUGAUGCAGCCAUGCCGCGUGUGUGAAGAAGGCCUUCGGUUGUAAAGCACUUUCAGUAGGGAGGAAGGUAGUGUAGUUAACACCUGCAUUAUUUGACGUUACCUACAGAAGAAGCACCGGCUAACUCCGUGCCAGCAGCCGCGGUAAUACGGAGGGUGCGAGCGUUAAUCGGAAUUACUGGGCGUAAAGCGCAUGCAGGCGGCCUGUUAAGUCAGAUGUGAAAGCCCGGGGCUUAACCUCGGAAUUGCAUUUGAAACUGGCAGGCUAGAGUCUUGUAGAGGGGGUAGGAAUUUCAGGUGUAGCGGUGAAAUGCGUAGAGAUCUGAAGGAAUACCAGU